rnacentral:misc_RNA from 1 species
UAAAGUGCGAUAUCUAGUGCGAUUUGCAUGAAUCUGUGAGUCAUCAAGUCUUUGAACGCAACUUGCGCCCCCUGGGCAGCCAAGGGGCAUGUCUGUUUGAGCGCCUAAUACACACGUUGAUCCCGCGAGGGUCAGAGCUGGGGCCGCAGCGCGCCGAGGGUGCGCGGUGGGUCCUGAAAUGGAGCAGGUCAAAGGGGGCCGGCGGCCGCGGCCAUGUGCUAGAGACCCGGCGGUCUUGUCAUGGCCGUGGGGCUGGCGCCCUGCGUUGGUGGUGUGGUGGUGUGGUGGUGGCGAGGCACUCCCUCGCCUCACACGCCGUCACACGCACACACGCCCUCACACUUGGCCUCAAAUCAGGCAAGACUACCCGCUGAACUUAA